AUUGAACGCUGGCGGCAUGCCUUACACAUGCAAGUCGAACGGUAACAGGUCUUCGGGUGCUGACGAGUGGCGAACGGGUGAGUAAUACAUCGGAACGUGCCUAGUAGUGGGGGAUAACUACUCGAAAGAGUGGCUAAUACCGCAUGAGAUCUACGGAUGAAAGCAGGGGAUCGCAAGACCUUGUGCUACUAGAGCGGCCGAUGGCAGAUUAGGUAGUUGGUGGGAUAAAAGCUUACCAAGCCGACGAUCUGUAGCUGGUCUGAGAGGACGAUCAGCCACCCGGGGACUGAGACACGGCCCAGACUCCGACGGGAGGCAGCAGUGGGGAAUUUUGGACAAUGGGCGCAAGCCUGAUCCAGCAAUGCCGCGUGCAGGAUGAAGGCCUUCGGGUUGUAAACUGCUUUUGUACGGAACGAAAAGCCCUGGGUUAAUACCCUGGGGUCAUGACGGUACCGUAAGAAUAAGCACCGGCUAACUACGUGCCAGCCGCCGCCGUAA
rnacentral:rRNA from 1 species